UUUGCGAGUACAUUCAAAGUACUCACUGUCUUGUCCCUAGUUAUUGUCUUGGACAGGUUGCGUGCUUGGAGAGGAGGAACCCGACGAUAACACUAGAACCUAGGCAACAAAGAUAGCAGCUGCGUGAGAUAGGAAUUAUCCAUGUGAGUUGUUCAUGUGGGAAAUGGAGUCCCAUAGACGGUGGAGAUUCCCGAACUGCUUCCGCCAUCAACCAUUAGAAACCUUUUGAUGUACUCUAUGGACCACCACGGUCUUUUACUUCAAAUUUGUAUUUUUGGUUGGACAAUUGUAUCAAGGAUUUGUGCACCAGCUAAAAGUAUUCUUGGGGCUGGUAUGCACAAGGGCCAUUUUGAAGGAAAGUUAAAAUCCCCGAAAAUCCGG
rnacentral:lncRNA from 1 species